AAAAAAAUAAGCGGGAACUCAUAACUCUGUUUGCCUAUAACAGGAACCCAAGCCCUAAACCUCAUCUUUUUCUCUUCCCUCGUCCGUCCACCCCUGUCACCGCCAUAGCUCUCCUCCGUCAACGACCAUAGCUCUCUAGGAACUUGUUGUUUCUCUCACUUCAUCUCUGUCUCUCGCUCUCCUCAAUUUUCGAUCGCAUUUCGAUUGCAUUUUCCUAGGUGGUAAAUGCUAUUGGAGGCACAUUUCUUACCCUAUCGGACUUUAUAAGAGGCACACCGGGAAUUUUGAUGAGUGCUCCAACUCAAAUUUUUGGUUCUGGAUCUCUAACCCUAUCGAUUUUAAUGCAUGCACACCGGGAAUGAAUAAUGGACAUUAUGGACAUGCUUGACUAGUUUAUUGAACUUUUAUAGUUUGUUUUUAAGAUUGGAACUUAUUUUAUUAAGUCCCAUGUUAGAUGUGUAAAAUAGGCUGUGUAUUAAUUACCAAUGAAGUUAUGUUAUUAUUAUUAUUUGUUAUGUAAUGAAGUUAUGUUAUGAAGUUAAUUUUGGAGAUAAA